rnacentral:rRNA from 1 species
AACGAACGCUGGCGGCGUGCCUAACACAUGCAAGUCGAGCGCGAAAGGGGUAACCCGAGUAGAGCGGCGCACGGGUGCGUAACACGUGGGUAAUCUGCCCAGAAGUCUCGGAUAACCUGCCGAAAGGCUGGCUAAUACGGGAUAGGCCUACGGUCUCUUCGGAGCCAGUAGGAAAAGGUGGCCUCUGUUUACAAGCUACCACUUCUGGAUGAGCCCGCGGCCCAUCAGCUAGUUGGCGGGGUAAUGGCCCACCAAGGCAACGACGGGUAGCUGGUCUGAGAGGACGAUCAGCCACACUGGAACUGAGACACGGUCCAGACUCCUACGGGAGGCAGCAGUGGGGAAUUUUGCGCAAUGGGCGAAAGCCUGACGCAGCAACGCCGCGUGUGUGAUGAAGGUCUUCGGAUUGUAAAGCACUUUCGACUGGGACGAAAAACCUUUGGCUAACAUCCAGGGGCCUGACGAUACCAGGAGAAGAAGCACCGGCUAACUCUGUGCCAGCAGCCGCCGCGGUAA